rnacentral:rRNA from 1 species
AACGAACGCUGGCGGCAGGCCUAACACAUGCAAGUCGAGCGGACCGUUCGGGGUCAGCGGCGGACGGGUGAGUAACGCGUGGGAAUAUGCCCUUCUCUACGGAAUAGUCCUGGGAAACUGGGGGUAAUACCGUAUACGCUCUUUGGGGGAAAGAUUUAUCGGGGAAGGAUUAGCCCGCGUUGGAUUAGGUAGUUGGUGGGGUAAUGGCCUACCAAGCCGACGAUCCAUAGCUGGUUUGAGAGGAUGAUCAGCCACACUGGGACUGAGACACGGCCCAGACUCCUACGCGAGGCAGCAGUAGGGAAUCUUAGACAAUGGGGGCAACCCUGAUCUAGCCAUGCCGCGUGAGUCAUGAAGGCCUUAGGGUUGUAAAGCUCUUUCAGCUGGGAAGAUAAUGACGGUACCAGCAGAAGAAGCCCCGGCUAACUCCGUG